rnacentral:rRNA from 1 species
UACAGAGGGGGCAAGCGUUGUUCGGAAUUACUGGGCGUAAAGGGCGCGUAGGCGGCCUUCUAAGUCGAACGUGAAAUCCCCGGGCUCAACCCGGGAACUGCGUCCGAUACUGGAAGGCUUGAAUCCGGGAGAGGGAUGCGGAAUUCCAGGUGUAGCGGUGAAAUGCGUAGAUAUUGGGAGGAACACCAGUGGCGAAGGCGGCUCACUGGACCGGUACUGACGCUGAUGCGCGAAAGCGUGGGGAGCAAACGGG